rnacentral:rRNA from 1 species
CAGUCGCCGCGGGAAUACGGAGGGUGCAAGCGUUAAUCGGAAUUACUGGGCGUAAAGCGCACGCAGGCGGUUUGUUAAGUCAGAUGUGAAAUCCCCGAGCUUAACUUGGGAACUGCAUUUGAAACUGGCAAGCUAGAGUCUUGUAGAGGGGGGUAGAAUUCCAGGUGUAGCGGUGAAAUGCGUAGAGUUCUGGAGGAAUACCGGUGGCGAAGGCGGCCCCCUGGACAAAGACUGACGCUCAGGUGCGAAAGCGUGGGGAGCAAACAGGAUUAGAUACCCCGGUAGUCCCUGUCUCUUAUAC